GACGAACGCUGGCGGCGUGCUUAACACAUGCAAGUCGAACGGAGUGGCGAACGGGUGAGUAACACGUGGGUGACCUGCCCUGCACUUCGGGAUAAGCCUGGGAAACUGGGUCUAAUACCGGAUAGUGUGGGAUGGGCUCGCGUCCUAUCAGCUGGUUGGGGGGGGAAUGGCCUACCAAGGCGGCGACGGGUAGCCGGCCUGAGAGGGUGGACGGCCACAUUGGGACUGCGACACGGCCCAGACUCCGACGGGGGACAGCGGUGGGGAAUAUUGCACAAUAGGGGGAAGCAUGAUGCAGCGACGGCGCGUAGGGGAUGACGGCAUACGGGUUGUAAACUCCUUUCACCAUCGACGCGGUAGAUGGAGAAGAAGCACCGGCUAACUACGUGCCAGCAGCCGCGGUAAUAC
rnacentral:rRNA from 1 species